AUAACUAGGAAAGUUCAUGACCAUUCUUGGAGAAGUAUUUCCCUGCUUCCCGGACUUCUACAUUGAGAAAAGAGAUCUACUCUGCAAAGCAAG